rnacentral:rRNA from 1 species
AUUGAACGCUGGCGGCAGGCCUAACACAUGCAAGUCGAACGAUUGGCGGACGGGUGAGUAAUGUCUGGGAAACUGCCCGAUGGCGGGGGAUAACUACUGGAAACGGUAGCUAAUACCGCAUACCAUCGGAUGUGCCCAGUUGGGCUUAGCUAGUAGGUGGGGUAAAGGGGCACCUAGGCGACGAUCCCGAGCUGGUCGGAGAGGAUGACAAGCCACACUGGAACUGAGACACGGGCCAGACUCCUACGUGAGGCAGGAGUGGGGAAUAGUGCACAAUGGGCGAAAGCCUGAUGCAGCCAGGCCGCGUGUAGGAAGAAGGCCUUCGGGUUGUAAAGUACUUUCAGCGAGGAGGCGUUACUCGCAGAAGAAGCACCGGCUAACUCCGUGCCAGCAGCCGCGGUAAUAC